rnacentral:misc_RNA from 1 species
GAAAUGCGAUAAGUAAUGUGAAUUGCAGAAUUCAGUGAAUCAUCGAAUCUUUGAACGCACCUUGCGCUCCUUGGUAUUCCUUGGAGCAUGCCUGUUUGAGUAUCAUGAAAUCUUCAAAGUAAAUCUUUUGUUAACUCAAUUGGCUUCUACUUUGGUAUUGGAGGUCUUUGCAGCUUCACACCUGCUCCUCUUUGUUCAUUAGCUGGAUCUCAGUGUUAUGCUUGGUUCCACUCGGCGUGAUAAGUUAUCUAUCGCUGAGGACACUGUAAAAGGUGGCCAAGGUAAAUGCAGAUGAACCGCUUCUAAUAGUCCAUUGACUUGGACAAUACUUUUAUGAUCUGAUCUCAAAUCAGGUAGGUCUACCCGCUGAACUUAAGC